rnacentral:SRP_RNA from 1 species
GCUGGGCUCACACCUGUAAUUCCUGCUACUGGGAAGGCUGAGGUUGGUGGAUUGCUUGAGCUCAGGAGAUCUGAGCCCCAGGAAGGCUGAGGCCAAUCAGGUGCCUGUACUAAGUCCAGCACCAAUCUGGUGAUCCCCCAGGAGCAGAGGGAUACCAGACUGCUUAAGGAGAGAUGGACUGGCCAGGGUAGAAAUGGAGAAGCAAAGUUUCAGUAUUGAUCAGUAAUGAGAUUAAGUCCCUGAGUGACUGCUGUGCUUUCAAACAGGGUGACAUAGGGAGACCUAAACCCCU